rnacentral:rRNA from 1 species
UACGGAGGGGGCUAGCGUUGUUCGGAAUUACUGGGCGUAAAGCGCACGUAGGCGGCUUUGUAAGUUAGAGGUGAAAGCCCAGGGCUUAACCCUGGAAUUGCCUUUAAGACUGCAUCGCUCGAAUUGUGGAGAGGUGAGUGGAAUUCCGAGUGUAGAGGUGAAAUUCGUAGAUAUUCGGAAGAACACCAGUGGCGAAGGCGACUCACAGGACACAUAUUGACGCUGAGGUGCGAAAGCGUGGGGAGCAAACAGG